CCUUGUACACACCGCCCGUCAAGCCACGGAAGUUGACAGUACCCGAAGUCGUGCACCCAACCGCAAGGAGGGAAGCGCCCACGGUAGGGUCGAUGACUGGGACU
rnacentral:rRNA from 1 species